rnacentral:rRNA from 1 species
AUGCUCUCCCUGGUGCGCCGCCGGCUCCUCGCCGCCCGCUUCUCCACGCUGCCGGAGGCCGCGCCGCCCGCCCCUCUCGACGCGGCCGCGGUGCAGGAGACGCUCACGCUCUACACCAACGACUGGCGCCGCGCGCUCGACUUCUUCCACUGGUCCGCCUCCCCGGGCGGCGGCAACCUGCCGCCGACCCCGUCGACCCUCUCCCGCGCCGUCGACAUCCUCGGCAAGCACUUCGAGUUCCCGCAGGCCACCGCCCUGCUCCUCGCCCACCACGACCCCUCGGACCCCGCCUUCCUCCGCCCCGCCCUCCGCGCGCUCCUCAACCGCCUCGCCGCCGCCAACCUCGUCGACGACGCCGUGCGGGCCUUCGAGUCCACCGCCGCCUCCGUCGGCCUGCGGGACGAGGCCUCCUUCCACCUCCUCGUCGACGCGCUCUGCGACCACCGCCGCGUCGACGAGGCCCACCACCUCUGCCUCGGCCGGGCGGCCCCGCCGCCCUUCCCGCCGGGGACCAAGACCCACAACCUGCUCCUCCGCGGCUGGGCCAAGGCGCGCGCCUGGGCGCGCCUCCGCCAGCACUGGCUUGACAUGGACGCCCGCGGCGUCGCCAAGGACCUCCACUCCUACUCCAUCUACAUGGACGCCCUCGCCAAGUCAGGGAAGCCCUGGAAGGCCGUCAAGCUGUUCAAGGAGAUGAAGCAGAAGCGUCUCCCGGUGGACAUCGUCGCGUACAACACUGCGAUCCACGCCGUCGGGCUCGCAGAGGGCGUCGAUUUCGCCGUUCGGAUGUACAGGCAGAUGAUUGAUGGUGGUUGCAGGCCGAACACCGCCACUUUCAACACGAUCGUCAAGCUGUUGUGCAAGGAAGGGAGGUUCAAGGAAGGCUAUGCGUUUGUGCAGCAGAUGCACAAGGCCGGGUGCGAGCCCAAUGAGCUCACCUACCAUUGCUUCUUCCAGUACCUGAGCCGCCCGCAGGAGGUCCUUGCGCUGUUUGAGAAAAUGCUCCAGAGGGGCUGCCGGCCGAGGAUGGACACAUAUGUCAUGCUCAUAAAGAGGUUUGGGCGCUGGGGUUUCCUUCGCCCUGUGUUCUUUGUGUGGAAGACAAUGGAAGAGCAAGGGCUCACCCCGGAUGCAUUUGCAUACAACACACUCAUUGAUGCAUUGCUGGAAAAGGGUAUGGUGGAUUUGGCUAGGAAAUACGACGAGGAGAUGCUCGCGAAGGGCCUCUCGCCCAAGCCAAGGAAAGAGCUAGGUACUCAAUUGCCAGGAGCAGAUUCUGACUGUGAUAAUGCAUUAAGUGGUGUGAUCUGA